AUUGAACGCUGGCGGCAGGCCUAACACAUGCAAGUCGAACGAGUGGCGGACGGGUGAGUAAUGUCUGGGAAACUGCCCGAUGGGGGGGGGAAACUACUGGAAACGGGAGCUAAUACCGCAUACCAUCGGAUGUGCCCAGGGGGGAUUAGCUGGUAGGGGGGGUAACGGCUCACCUAGGCGACGAUCCCUAGCUGGUCUGAGAGGAUGACCAGCCACACUGGAACUGAGACACGGUCCAGACUCCUACGGGAGGCAGCAGUGGGGAAUAUUGCACAAUGGGCGCAAGCCUGAUGCAGCCAUGCCGCGUGUGUGAAGAAGGCCUUCGGGUUGUAAAGUACUUUCAGCGGGGAGGCGUUACUCGCAGAAGAAGCACCGGCUAACUCCGUGCCAGCAGCCGCGGUAAUUC
rnacentral:rRNA from 1 species